GACGAACGCUGGCGGCGUGCUUAACACAUGCAAGUCGAACGAAGUGGCGAACGGGUGAGUAACGCGUAAUCACCCUGCCCUUCAGAGGGGGACAACAGUUGGAAACGACUGCCAAUACCGCAUACUGAAGGAGGGGAUUGCGUCUGAUUAGCUAGUUGGAGGGGUAACGGCCCACCAAGGCGAUGAUCAGUGGGCGGGCUGAGAGGAUGAACGGCCACAUUGGGAACGAGACACGGCCCAGACUCCUACGGGAGGCAGCAGUGGGGAAUCUGCCGGAAUGGACGAAAGUCUGACUGAGCAACGCCGCGUGAGUGAUGACGGCUUUCGGGUUGUAAAGCUCUGUUAAUCGGGACGCGGUACCGGAAUAGAAAGCCACGGCUAACUACGUGCCAGCAGCCGCGGUAAUUC
rnacentral:rRNA from 1 species